rnacentral:rRNA from 1 species
AUUGAACGCUGGCGGUAUGCUUAACACAUGCAAGUCGAACGGUAACAGGCCUUCGGGCGCUGACGAGUGGCGGACGGGUGAGUAACGCGUAGGAAUCUGCCUCAUAGUGGGGGACAACGUGGGGAAACUCACGCUAAUACCGCAUACGCCCUACGGGGGAAAGCGGGGGAUCUUCGGACCUCGCGCUAUGAGAUGAGCCUGCGUUAGAUUAGCUAGUUGGUAGGGUAAAGGCCUACCAAGGCGACGAUCUAUAGCUGGUCUGAGAGGACGAUCAGCCACACUGGGACUGAGACACGGCCCAGACUCCUACGGGAGGCAGCAGUGGGGAAUAUUGGACAAUGGGCGCAAGCCUGAUCCAGCAAUACCGCGUGUGUGAAGAAGGCCUUAGGGUUGUAAAGCACUUUCAAUUGGGAGGAAAACCUGCCGGUCAAUACCCGGUAGCUUGACAUUACCUUUAGAAGAAGACACCGGCUAAACUCCGUGCCAGCAGCCGCGGUAAU